rnacentral:lncRNA from 1 species
AAGGACGGAAAAUUUAGCAACUCAGAGGCACUACAAGUUUGAGAAGAUAUUCGUUCAAUAACCGAGAUAAAAUUAUCAAAUUCCACCAGAGAGAUCGUGAUUGAACAAAAUUGAAUUCAGAAAACUCCUCUCUUUCAAAGUGGCUCCGUGGUUUUUUUUUUUUUUCCCACAGACAUCCUACGUCUUAUACUAUUCAAUCCAAUUUGAAGCGCUAAACAGAAUCAUGACAUACUAUAAUGAUUCAAAAUUAUAAAAGAGAGAGAGAGAGAGAG